ensembl:lncRNA
GGACCCUUGGAUUCCCUGCUUGGUGAAGCAGGGCUUGCUGACUGAACCAGUGCGAUAGUCCUCUGAGUUCUGAGACUGCAGCUUUUACCUUCCCAGAAGCCCUGCUUGUAAUGCUCCAAUCAGCUUCCCACCGGGUUUCCACCACUCCAGCUAUGCUGAACUCAUCCCUGCACAAAAGCCAUUCCCUCUGUUUAUCAGCCAGGACCUACCUUUGGUGGAGGAGGAGAUGAAAGAGUUUCUCUCCCUUUCCUUCAGAGCUUUGAUUAAUUUUCUUCUCAGCACCUUCAUUAUGUGCUAAAUGAGUUUCCAUUUG